UAGGGAAUCUUCCGCAAUGGGCGAAAGCCUGACGGAGCAACGCCGCGUGAGUGAUGAAGGUCUUCGGAUCGUAAAACUCUGUUAUUAGGGAAGAACAUACGUGUAAGUAACUAUGCACGUCUUGACGGUACCUAAUCAGAAAGCCACGGCUAACUACGAGCCAGCAGCCGCGGUAAUACGUAGGUGGCAAGCGUUAUCCGGAAUUAUUGGGCGUAAAGCGCGCGUAGGCGGUUUUUUAAGUCUGAUGUGAAAGCCCACGGCUCAACCGUGGAGGGUCAUUGGAAACUGGAAAACUUGAGUGCAGAAGAGGAAAGUGGAAUUCCAUGUGUAGCGGUGAAAUGCGCAGAGAUAUGGAGGAACACCAGUGGCGAAGGCGACUUUCUGGUCUGUAACUGACGCUGAUGUGCGAAAGCGUGGGGAUCAAACAGGAUUAGAUACCCUGGUAGUCCACGCCGUAAACGAUGAGUGCUAAGUGUUAGGGGGUUUCCGCCCCUUAGUGCUGCAGCUAACGCAUUAAGCACUCCGCCUGGGGAGUACGACCGCAAGGUUG
rnacentral:rRNA from 1 species